AGCGGCGGCCAGGAGGGUCCGCGGCUCAGCGCAGGGGGCCGAGGCCCGGAGGGCGGCCCCUCGCCGUCAGCGCUGCGACCGGGACGUCCACCUGCCGGCCCCCCGAGCCCCCGUGGGGUCCCCCGUGGGCCCCCGGGACCGCGGACAGCGCUGCCCGAGCCUCCCUGGCCGCCCGCCGGCCUCCCCGCGUCCCCAGGUUCCAUUCUGUUACAGGCCAUUGCAGAGUACUGUGUAGAGUUCCCUGUGCCAGACGUACAAGGACUUGUCUGCAAUCACACCAUGGUACCGAAAUGUGAAAACCGAUUCUACUCACAGAGCCAAAGAAUGAAUUCUGCAAACUCGCAAACUCUCACAGAGCCAAAGAAUGAAUUCUGCAAACUCGCAACCUCUCACACAGGUAUGAGAAGAUAUAAGAAUCAGGGCUCAUAAAAAUUUCCUCCCAAAACUGCCCACUUGAUUUCACAUUUCAGGAUGUCUGGCUCUAGGUUUCGUGGUGACCCAAGGAGGAAAGAGCAGAUGAAACCAAGGAGGGUCUUGGAAGCGGGACUGGAAAGACCAGACCCUGUUUUCCCUCCCUCCCCCAUGCUGUAACUGUUAUUGGAUCUCAGGGCCUCCUGACCUGCGGAACCUGUCUCCCCUCCUACCCCACAGGGAGAAGGCAUUUGCCUUACUCUUCCCCACCCAGUCUACGUGCCUCAUCCAAUCAGCAAACGACCUGCGAGGCCCCUGUCCCACUCCUUGUACCCUGGCUAUAGAAGCGGACUAAGGACCCCGAUCGACGUCGGUUCUCCCUUGAGCUGGCCCACUGUUCCAACAGGGUCUCCCACUCUAAAACUUGACUCCCUUCUUAUUCUGUCUCAUGUCUGGAAAUUCUUUUCCAACCUGCGCCCAGACCACAACAGGUUUGCCUGAGGGAGCAAUUCCAGCGGUUUGAAUUUUAUACUUGUCACUUUUUUUUCCCCUUGGUUUUAGGUCUUGUCUGAUUGAGUUAAUCAGGCUCAGUCUCAGAUCCUUGUGGCCUGUAUUUAUAUUUUGGUUUUAAGAUUUCCAAGAGAAAGUUGUUUGUAGUUCCCCAAAGAACUGGUCUGUCACCUGAAAGAUUUUAUCAGUGACAAGAUUUCUAAUUAGACUGAAAUUUAUUUUAUGAGUUUUAUGUUUUAUGAUUUUACA
ensembl:lncRNA